UAUUACCAGCGGGCAUGCGUAUACGGGAGCUAAGCGCGUUUAAGCGAGAAAGUUGGAACAAAACUUCCAAGAUGGCAUCUUUUUAGUGUUUUUCGUGAAGGAGUAGCGGAUUUUUUUACUAGAUAUCAAGACACCAGUUAUAUACGUCGAGUAUGCCAAGAUUUAAAAAGACGGCGUAACGAAGUAUGUACCGCUCUAGAAAGCGAAAAGUACAUGAAAACCCACCAAUCAAACAAAAAAGAUAACGUCGAAGUACCACGCCAAACAAUCACAUGUACGUGCAAUAUAAGUGUAAUGAAAAACAGAAAAGAGAAAAGCCGUUUCGAUACUAGUAUAAGGUUGCUGUAACCAAAUACUGCCAUUGUUGCGAUUGGGAAUACAUGAAGCAAUUUGGAAUACCUGACACCUGCUUAGAAGAUGCAUAUCGGUGGAUGUUUUUUUUUAAUGAAAACUUAAAUACAUUUAUUAAUUGUUUAGUUAAUACAAUAACAUUUGACACGUUAUACCAUAACGAUACUGAUACAUGUAUAUGACUUUGAUGUGACACAUUAUGACGACCUUCGUUUAAACCAGUUCUGAGUUGGUCACUAUUAUUAUAAUCGAAAAAGUGAAUUUGUAGUGGAUAGAAAGAUUUGUGCAAAUGCAAUACACGAUAUGAUUUCAGUAGAAGUGAUCAAUAUAUACAUGUAUUUUUUCUCUUUAAUACCUAUGUGAAUACAUCUUAUUUAAGACUGUUGUAUUGAGGGAAUAAAGUAUUGGUUCAAUUA